AUUUAUAUAGUUUAAAAAAAACAUUAUAUUUUCAAUAUAAAAUUAAUAAUUAUAAAUU
rnacentral:tRNA from 1 species